AUUGAACGCUGGCGGCAUGCUUUACACAUGCAAGUCGAACGGUAACAGGCCGCAGGGUGCUGACGAGUGGCGGACGGGCGGGUAAUGCAUCGGAACGUGCCCAGUCGUGGGGGGUAACUACUCGAAAGAGUAGCUAAUACCGCAUACGAUCUAUGGAUGAAAGCGGGGGACCGUAAGGCCUCGCGCGAUUUGAGCGGCCGAUGUCGGAUUAGGUAGUUGGUGGGGUAAUGGCUCACCAAGCCAACGAUCUGUAGCUGGUCUGAGAGGAUGACCAGCCACACUGGGACUGAGACACGGCCCAGACUCCUACGGGAGGCAGCAGUGGGGAAUUUUGGACAAUGGGCGCAAGCCUGAUCCAGCAAUGCCGCGUGCAGGAAGAAGGCCUUCGGGUUGUAAACUGCUUUUGUACGGAACGAAACGGCUCUGGUUAAUACCCGGGGCUAAUGACGGUACCGUAAGAAUAAGCACCGGCUAACUACGUG
rnacentral:rRNA from 1 species